UACAGAGGGUGCGAGCGUUGUCCGGAAUCACUGGGCGUAAAGGGCGCGUAGGGGGUGUCUUAAGCGUGCGGUGAAAGCUCGGAGCUCAACCCCGGGUCGGCCGUGCGGACUGCCGGGCUCGAGCACUGUAGAGGCGGGUGGAAUUCCGGGUGUAGCGGUGGAAUGCGUAGAGAUCCGGAAGAACACCGGUGGCGAAGGCGGCCCGCUGGGCAGUGGCUGACGCUGAGGCGCGACAGCGUGGGGAGCAAACAGG
rnacentral:rRNA from 1 species